CGAGCCGUCCAGGUCGUCGCUGCCGCUCGUGCUUCACCCUUGCAGUUCGCAGUAACCCAGAUCCGUCGCUGCAACCGUCGGCCGGUUCGUGAAGCCCUGCCGCGCAACCUCUGUUUCCAGCCGCCGCCCAUUUCGUUCUCCUCUGUUUUCUACACUGCCACGCGACUCUCCGACCGCGUCUGUCUUCACCUCCGUGAAGCCGUCGAUGCAUACAUCUUGUGAAGCCCGGUCGCCGCGUCAGAUCGUCGAUCGAUUUUGAGGCAGCCGCCACGUCUCCUUUGGCCGACCGCUGACCGACCCACACUUAGGAUUUUUGCUGCGAGUUCGACAGUCGUGCGUUGAGGUGUUGGGAGUAACGUUGGGCUCCCUUAAAUUCACAACCAAUAUAUGAAUUGUUGAGGGUUCAGUUCGCCAAUACUUCGGAUUGUUUCGAGGACGUUAGUUGAUUAAGGAGCUUCCCUAACUUUGAGGUAAGGGAUUUUCUACUGGACUCACUUAUGAUUGUGAAUUGUAUGUCUGUAUGAUUGUCUCUGACUGAGUAAAGAUGUUGAGAUGAUAUAUAUAUAUACACGUAUGGAUGUAGAUUCGGUGUUGAAUGUAUACUGUGGAUUGACUGAAAA